rnacentral:rRNA from 1 species
GACGAACGCUGGCGGCGUGCCUAAUACAUGCAAGUCGAACGCAGUGGGGACGGGUGAGUAACACGUGGGUAACCUCCCAUCAGAGGGGAUAACACUUGGAAACAGGUGCUAAACCGAUACUGAUGGAUGGACCCGGGGUGCAUUAGCUAGGUGGUGGGGUAACGGCUCACCAAGGCCACGAUUCCUAGCCGACCUGAGAGGGUGAUCGGCCACACUGGGACUGAGACACGGCCCAGACUCCUACGGGAGGCAGCAGUGGGGAAUCUUGCGCAAUGGACGAAAGUCUGACCGAGCAACGCCGCGUGAGUGAAGAAGGUUUUCGGGUCGUAAAGCUCUGUUGUUAGAGAAGCGGUAUCUAACCAGAAAGCCACGGCUAACUACGUGCCAGCCGCCGCGGUAAUUC